rnacentral:misc_RNA from 1 species
UACGGAGGGUGCAAGCGUUAUCCGGAUUCACUGGGUUUAAAGGGUGCGUAGGAGGGCAGGAAAGUCAGUGGUGAAAUCCUAGGGCUUAACUCUAGAACUGCCGUUGAUACUACUUGUCUUGAAUAUCGUGGAGGUGAGCGGAAUAUGUCAUGUAGCGGUGAAAUGCUUAGAUAUGACAUAGAACACCAAUUGCGAAGGCAGCUCGCUACACGAAUAUUGACUCUGAGGCACGAAAGCGUGGGGAUCAAACAGG